UAACGAAUCUUCCGCAAUGGGCGCAAGCCUGACGGAGCAAUGCCGCGUGUGGGAUGAAGCGUCUCUGACGUGUAAACCACUGUCAGGGGUUAGAAACAAUGAUCAACCCCAAAGGAAGUGGCGACUAACUCUGUGCCAGCAGUCGCGGUAAUACAGAGGCCACAAGCGUUAGUCGGAAUCACUGGGCUUAAAGGGUGCGUAGGCUGGUCCGCAAGCGUCUUGUGAAAGCCCUCGGCUCAACCGAGGAACAGCAGGGCGAACUGCGGAUCUUGAGGCAGGUAGGGGUCGCGAGAACAGUAGGUGGAGCGGUGAAAUGCGUAGAUAUCUACUGGAAUGCCGAUGGUGAAGACGCGCGACUGGGCCUGUCCUGACGCUGAGGCACGAAAGCGUGGGGAGCAAACAGGAUUAGAUACCCACGUAGUCCCUGAGCGGGCUGGCAAGGCGCAU
rnacentral:rRNA from 1 species